GACAGUGGUGUAGUGGUUUGAGUGUUGGACUACAACUCUGGAAACCAUGGUUCGAAGCCUUGCUGUGCCA